UUAUACAGCUUUAUAUAAUAUGUUGAUACUACAUGUGUACGAUAUUUUACGAUCGAUGAACCUUGAUAUGGACGAUAAUGCUGUAAAAAUAAGAUUUUUUUCUUUUCUAUUAAAGAUUUCCAGGUAAUGCCGUGUGUCACUGAAUAAAAAAUAUUUUAUCUUAUUAUUAAAUUGUUUACAUGAACACACUUUCCUAUAAAUAUGCCAUUCUACCGCUAAAUGAAAUCAGAAAUCUUUUGACAUACUUCCAAGUAAAAUCUUAAAGAAAAUCGUCUAAAAAAUAAAAUGGCUAAGCUUUUAUUGUUUCUUGUCCUCACUCUUUUGGCGUUUACUUAUGUGAUGGCUUGUUCUCCACCAGGUAUGCCUUGUACCGAUAGUAGUCAAUGCUGUGCCCCAUACGUAUGCAACCCUUGGGCUAAUCGUUGCACAAAAGGUGGAAGCUGGCAACCACCAGGCGCUAGCACUGAUGGCAGCGAAUGAUUAAGAUGAGCUAUCUGACAUAUUUACAUUAUUUCGUAGGCCUACGAUCAAAUGUACACUUUUUCCUAAUUCAUCAUAUAUGAUGAUUUCUGUAACUUGACUUAUUGUUUGCUUCAAAAAUACAUAUGCAUCAUUAAAAUUAACUUUCUUUUGUUCUAUUCUUUUAAUCAACCUAUUCACAUCGUACACUUCGUCGAUAAUCCAACAUAAAAUAUUUAUUUCUUUAGAUAAAUCCGAGGUUUCCGAUUAACAUGUCCGAUAGAUUUUAAGAACAAGUAUUGUCUUUGCUUUAAAUACAAAUGUUAUUAUCAUCGUAUGAAUGUUUCUAUUUUUUUCAUUUUUCGUUUUACCGAUAACUAUGCUUAAUAGAAAUGUUAUUAAUAUGUAACAUAUAAAUGUUCUUCGUCUCACUCAAACAAAAUGA
rnacentral:lncRNA from 1 species